rnacentral:snRNA from 1 species
GUGCUCCCUUCGACCGCACAUAUACUAAAAUUGCAACGACAGAGACAAGAUCAGCGUGGCCCCUGCGCAAAGAUGACACGCAAAUCCGUGAAGCGAUCCAUAUUUUU